GAUUUAAAGAAGGCGGCUCGAGUCAACCGGGACGCAAACAAGACAAGACAAAGUCGAACCGUAUGAAUGGGUAAAUAUUCCUUUGGAGCAAAUCUUGGACCGAAGGAACGAACACACAUUGCGCCAUUUAAUUGCUUCCGCUCGUCAAGUUCUAAAGGGUGAUAGUGUCUUUUUGUUAAUGGAUGUUUUUAUUUAUUUAUGAUGUAAUGGUUAUAAUUUUUAUGUCUUUUGGAACGUGUCGUUGAAUUUAGUAUUUGAAUGAUGAUUGUUAAAAGCAGGGAAUCACUUAUAGUACGAACGGGUCAUGCCCAAUUUUUGU
rnacentral:lncRNA from 1 species